UAUAACGGGUAUCAAGGAGCCAUGAGC
rnacentral:piRNA from 1 species